rnacentral:rRNA from 1 species
AGAGUUUGAUCAUGGCUCAGAUUGAACGCUGGCGGCAUGCCUUACACAUGCAAGUCGAACGGCAGCGCGGGGCAACCUGGCGGCGAGUGGCGAACGGGUGAGUAAUAUAUCGGAACGUGCCCUGGAGUGGGGGAUAACGCAGCGAAAGUUGCGCUAAUACCGCAUACGAUCUAAGGAUGAAAGCGGGGGAUUCGCAAGAACCUCGUGCUCCUGGAGCGGCCGAUAUCUGAUUAGCUAGUUGGUGGGGUAAAGGCCUACCAAGGCAUCGAUCAGUGGCUGGUCUGAGAGGACGACCAGCCACACUGGAACUGAGACACGGUCCAGGCUCCUACGGGAGGCAGCAGUGGGGAAUUUUGGACAAUGGGCGCAAGCCUGAUCCAGCAAUGCCGCGUGAGUGAAGAAGGCCUUCGGGUUGUAAAGCUCUUUUGUCAGGGAAGAAACGGUAUGGGCUAAUAUCCCGUGCUAAUGACGGUACCUGAAGAAUAAGCACCGGCUAACUACGUGCCAGCAGCCGCGGUAAUACGUAGGGUGCAAGCGUUAAUCGGAAUUACUGGGCGUAAAGCGUGCGCAGGCGGUUUUGUAAGUCUGUCGUGAAAUCCCCGGGCUCAACCUGGGAAUUGCGAUGGAGACUGCAAGGCUAGAAUCUGGCAGAGGGGGGUAGAAUUCCACGUAGCAGUGAAAUGCGUAGAGAUGUGGAGGAACACCGAUGGCGAAGGCAGCCCCCUGGGUCAAGAUUGACGCUCAUGCACGAAAGCGUGGGGAGCAAACAGGAUUAGAUACCCUAGUAGUCC